UCUCCCACCGCGCAUGCGCCCGGCACUGUCUGGGCUCCGCCCCGUCGCCUGUUCGCAGCGCUGUUUGGCAAGCCUCAAACGUGGCGGAAGUGACUCCUGCUCGGCCUCCUGCGCCCACUCAGCCGCCCCCGGCAAGCUCCUCAUUCCUAGACCUGCCCUCGUGGUUUCAUUCAUUCGCUUCGUGCUUCCCUCUCUCGCCUGGACUGCUGUUGCAAGAGUGAUCUUGGCCACAAUAGAGGCUGACUGUGCAAGAAUACUUCCCCAGCUGGUGCCCUGAUGGCGAAAGGCGCCCUUCUCUCCUCCAAGAAAAGAGAAACAGUUUCCUGCACAGACGUCAUGCGAUGCAAGUUUCCCUGAAUCUGCUGAAUGGAUCUGUUUGACCCUGAUAAUACUACAGUUAUCUCUUUCAUGGGUUUAUUUCUUACAUCUGUCAAAUGCUUCAUAAAAUAGAUAUCUCUUGCUGUUGUUCUAUACCUUCAAAUAAUAUGGCAACCCUGAAGUGAACCUAUCACUGGGUUUCCUUGGAAGUGUUUGUUCAGAGGGGUUUUUCCAUAGCUUUCUUCUGAGGCCAAGAGAAUGUGAUUCACCAAAGCUACCCAGUGAGUUUUCAAGGGUGAGCAAAGACUCAAACUCUGAUCUCCCAUAGUCUGCAACCAACACUCAAAUCAGUGCACCGCAUAAAGCCAAUAGAUGGUACUGACACAGCAUAAAAUGCAGAGCAGAAGGUAAAACAAUCUGCAUCUCCUGGUACAAGAGUUAAAUGUAAAGUGCAAGGACCUAGUUAAAGUUUUUAGCUGCUAAAAUACAUAAAUGCCUGACAGAACAGAAGAAUCUAACACCAUACAAUUAUAGCACUAUGGUUCCACUUUAACUGCUAUGGCAACAUCCUAUAGAAUCCUGAGAUUUGUGGUCUGGAGAUGCCCUACUUCUCUCUGAACUGAAACUCCCAGCAUUUCUACAGAAGGAACAAUUGCAAUCACAGCAACCCAGCUGCAGUUAAAAUGUCACCAUAUUACUGUAAUUAUGUGGUGUGAAAGGACUCUUUGAGCUGGUGCUUAAAAGAGCAGGAAUGUGGGCAUUAGUUAAGCAUUACCAGAUAAAGCAUUCCAGAGCUAUUUGGUGAACCCAUUCCCCCCCAGGCCCUUAUUCUACUUUGGCAUGGACAUGCCCCUGGGAAAGUUUUGUUUCACCAUACCAAAGGAAAUGGCAAACAUAAAGAGACAUUGCAGCUGAUCUUAAAGGAUGGGCAGAUUCAAAUAGGAGGAGGCAUCCUUGUUUCACGCUGUUAAAUUCCGUUUGCUUUGCCUUGACUAGGUGAUAUAUAAGGUUGUGCAUUUGCAAGCUCUGGGUGGUGAAAUGGGACCAUUUAGUAUCUUAAGAACAGAUUUAAUGAUAGCAAUAGCAGGAGAUUUAAGGAGACCUUCAAAAGACAAGUUGGGCAUCUCCCAUGACAGGGAGAUCCGUUUGGGCUGAAAGAAGCUCCCACUUAUCUGGUGAUUUGAGCACCACUAUGCUGCCAAACAGACAUUCACCGCCACUUUUAUUUUACUUUGCUACUAGCCAUAUAUCUGGUUGAUGGCGCUGUCAAUAAGAUGCUUUAAUGCCUAAGGAUUACAGGUGCAGGAUUGUAAAGUGAUGAGCUGGAGUACUAAAAGAAAGCAAUUCCCCUGCAUGGAAAGUUACAGCAGUUCUCAGCUGGUUUGACCUGUAGUUAAAAUGAAUCUGACAAACAGGGUUUCUUAUUUAGAUACUUCUAGUUUUAUUCCAAUGUUCUCUUUUUGCUGGGCAACAAACCAGCCGCUUCUAGUAAUAAAAAAGAUUAUUUUUAAAAGGAAAUCUCUCGGGGAAUGAGGAGCCCAUUUUUUGAAAUACCAAACAUCAAAAUUGACUUUGAUUAUUUCAGGUAUUUACUUGCACUGUACAAUCAUAUAUUGCCUAGUGCAUUAUGAUAGCCUAUAUACAGCAGCACGGAAAACAGACAAGAUCAUUCAUGACUGCAAACUUUGGUUGAAAGUAAAAGAUUUAAAUCAGGGUGAUGCAUGUGUGGCUCUCUAUGUUAUAAGACUUCAACUAUCAUCAGCAUAGGCAGUGGUGAGGGAUAAUGGGAAUUUUAGUUCAACAACCCUUGGGGGCAUACAUUCUACAUGUCUGGCAGAAGAGGAACUUGCUUUUAUGAUGUGUUAGGAAUGGAUGUAGGGCCCCUGGUGGCACAGUGUGUUAAAGCGCUGAGCUGCUGAACUUGCGGACAAAAAGGUCCCAGGUUCAAAUCCCGGGAGCGGAAUGAGCACCCGCUGUUAGCCUCAGCUCCUGCCAACCUAGCAGUUCGAAAACAUGCAAAUGUGAGUAGAUCAAUAGGUACUGCUCCGGCGGGAAGGUAACGGCGCUCCAUGCAGUCAUGCUGGCCAUAUGACCUUGGAGGUGUCUAUGGACAACGCCGGCUCUUCGGCUUAGAAAUGAGCACCAAUCCUCAGAGUCAGUCACGACUGGACUUAACAUCAGGGCAAACCUUUUCCUUUUUCUAUUAGGAAUGGAUGUAAAUUGUAAAGCUCCGCACUAAACCCUUAUCUGCUAAUCAUUUACUGCUACAUGUCAAACUUUUUCCACAUAUAGAUCAUAUUGAGGUGCACUGCUUUCAUACGUCUCAAUUAAUAGGCGAACCAAAUUUAAUAUAGACUGAAUUUGGUUUUUAGCAGCAACCCCCCACCCCCAUUAUAGCCAUCUUAGGACAUGUCAUAGGCAAGUGUGUACUGUGGUAGAUACUUUUAAGAUACUCUUCUUUAGUAAACUGGCACAUCUAGCGGGAGCAUACAGUUUUUAUGUACAGGCAGUAUUAAUGUCAGGCUAUAUGACAGUUCAUUCCUAUAGAUAGUGGCUUCCAGUUAAGGCAGCAUUUCUCAACCUAGGGGUCAGGACCCCGGGGAAGAGGGUCGCGAGGGGGUGUCAAAGAGGUUUCCAAAGACCAUCAGAAAACACAUAUUUCUGAUGGUCUUAGGAAACCCUUUGGCAAAGAAGGCUGAAUAUCUCUUCGCCUGUCCUUCACUUUCUUUUUGGGAACAGACAGCGCAUCCUCCCACCAAAAGCCCAAUUUGCCCAAUUCUAUCAUUGAUGGGUUUCAAGGGGCUCUUUGAUUGCAGGUGAGCUAUAAAUCCUAGCAACUACAACUCCUAGAUGUCAAAAUCUAUUUUCCCCAAACUCCACCAGUGUUCACAUUUGGGUAUACUGAGUAUUUGUGCCAAGUUUGGUCCAGAUCCAUCAUUGUCCACAGUGCUCUCUGGAUGUAGGUGAACUACAACUCCAAAACUCAAGGUCAAUGCCCACCAAACCCUUCCAGUAUUUUCUGUUGGUCAUGGGAGUUCCGUGUGCCAAGUUUGGUUCAAUUCUAUCGCUUUUGGAGUUCUGAAUGCUUUUUUAUUGUAGGUGAACUAUAACUCCCAAACCACAAAAUCAACCCCCAACCCCACCAGUAUUCACAUUGGAGCGUAUUGGGUAUUUGUGCCAGAUUUGAUCCAGUGAAUGAAAAUAUAUCUUGUAUAUCAGAUAUUUACAUUACAAUUCAUAACAAUAGCAAAAAUACAGUUAUUAAGUAGCAACAAAAUAAUUUUAUGGUUGGGGGUCAUCACAACAUGAGGAACUGUAUUAAGGGGUUGAGGCAUUAGGAAGGUUGAGAACCAUUGAGUUAAGGUCUGCGCCAGACCAGGAUCAUACAGAGGCAGAACAGCCAUCUCUGCCUAAAUUAUGAUUUGCCCAAUUACAUAGAACCUCUAUUUAAAUUGACUUCAAAAAUCUGUACAGAGCCUUCAUGUAAGCACACCAGCUAGCAUACUGGAUAGCUUUUCACAGCUCCCUGUGGACUAGCUUUUAAAAAACAUCUAAGCGUGAAGCUUGUGCAUAUGACCAAUAUUGCCCAAAGACUGUGCUGGUCUCCAUGGUUGUCAAUGCCUGUGUAAAAUGGACUAUAGGUGACACAUCUGUAGUAUUGCCAAACAACUAUCAUAGCCUGAGUACUUCUUCCUGUUAAGCUUCCUGUGUUGUUCUUAGAUCCACUGUGAAGCAAAACUCUGGAAUUGACCUUAGGGUUUGAAAAUGGACUCAGAAACGAGUUUUCCUCUGUGGAUCAUUGUGGACAAGUUGCAUUUUAAGGACUCAUUUCCUCAGUCCACUUCGAAUUGUCUCAGGAUUUCUAGGAAGUUGUUAUCAAUCUCAAAACAUGUGCAAUACAGUAUUUGUCACUGUCAAUAGUACACAUGAGUAAUGUAAUUAUUAGGCUUGAGAUGAAGAAGAACUCUACUGAUUAUGAAUUUGUUUUUGUUCUUUGAGGCUAAAAUGGUUGGGAGGCCCAUUCUUGUCAUUGACUGGAGUGAUAGUGUUCUUUGCUGUUGCUUCCACCCUAAUGCUGGACACAGGAAACCCAGCAGCCUACACAAACACCCAGGUUGCUCUUACGUCAGUACCAACAUACCAAGAGAAAACAAUACAAAGGAAGCAUUUUGUCUUAGACUAUUAAUUUUUAAAAGGGUAUUUUAGAUUCACCUCUUUGUUGUUGGUGGCUGCAUGGCAGAUUUAUAGAUGGAAAGGUUAGGUAAAUAUUUUGAUAAUGUGUUUGCAAAAUGCACUGCACAUAUUGAUAUACUGAUCAUUGUUUCGCCUUGUUCCAUUAUUCAAGAAACACAAUCCAAUGAUGUACAAUUAAAAGUUAAUCUCACCUCAGCAUCUAUCCACCUGUUUGCUGGCUAGCUUUACACAUUGCCAUGUCUCUCGUCUGUACCUUUCAUGUGGGAUCAAAAGCCCUGUGGAAACAAGGGACCGCCAGCUGCACAGGUGGUAUGAGUGAGUAGAGAAACACAGCAGCCAUUGCCGCAGAAGGGGAGGUCCCACAACUAGCAGGGGCUUGCAUCUGGGCUGGAGGGAAGCAGGUGGCUUGCUUCUUGCUCCCCUUCCUCCUGGGACAUCAGAAGGGGACGAAUAUAGCACAGAAGGCUCAUGCCCUUGGACACAACAUGACCCUAUUAACCAGGUGCAGUUGCUCUGUCCAGAGGAACCUAUCAACAGGGUUGUCAACUGUGUGGAUCUAGUGCUGUGAUUUUAGCUUUGAGUGUGUUUUUAAUCAUUUUUAUGGAUUUUAACUGAAUUUUUUAAUAGCAUUGAUAUUUAAUUCUAGUUUAAUGUUUGUAUAUUUGUGGAUUUUAAAUUGUAUUGAAAUGCUUUUAAUGUAAGCUGCUUUGAGUCUCCUUUGUGGAGAGAAAUAGCAGGGUAUAAAUAAACAUAGUAAUAAUAAACAA